AAGGUUUCCGUAGGUGAACCUGCGGAAGGAUCAUUAAUGAAUAAACUUGUGUGGGUUGUUGCUGGUCUCUUCGGAGGCAUGUGCACGCCUGCCAUUGUUUCAUUCUCCCCUUCCCCCUGUGCAUUUUCUGUARAUCGGGUUGUCACCAUUCAAUGGGUGCUUGCACUCUUGGUGGGAGGAUYUGYUCCGGYUGUCCUUGGAUGACCUGGUCUAUGUCUUAUCAACUCUUGAUGUAUGAUAUAGAAKKUCAGCCUGGGUUCUUUACAAGACCCAUAAAACAUAUACAACUUUCAACAACGGAUCUCUUGGCUCUCGCAUCGAUGAAGAACGCAGCGAAAUGCGAUAAGUAAUGUGAAUUGCAGAAUUCAGUGAAUCAUCGAAUCUUUGAACGCACCUUGCGCUCCUUGGUAUUCCGAGGAGCAUGCCUGUUUGAGUGUCAUUAAAUCCUCAACCCCUUCUUCCUUGUGAAUGAAGGGUGUUGGAUGUGGAAGUCUGCUGGCCCCUAUGGGUCAGCUCUUCUGAAAUGAAUUAGCAGGGUCACCAUGUACAAGCCUCCAGCUUGGUAUUGAUAGAUGUCUUACCAGGUUGUAGCACAAUGUGCAAGGUGCUCAAGCUCACAGCUGUCCCUUCAGGACAAUUAACUCGACGAUUUGACCUCAAAUCAGGUAGGACUACCCGCUGAACUUAAGCAUAUC
rnacentral:rRNA from 1 species